rnacentral:misc_RNA from 1 species
CUGAACUGUCGACACGAGUUGUUGCUGGUCCUCAAAUGGGGGCAUGUGCACGCUCUGUUUACACAUCCACUCACACCUGUGCACCUUCUGUAGUUCUAUGGGCUGGGGGACCUGUCCUCCUGCUGUGGUUCUGCAUCUUUACACACACACACUGUAACAAAGUCUCAUGGAAUGCAUCUGCGUUUAACGCAAUACAAUA